GCAUAUCAAUAAGCGGAGGAAAAGAAACUAACAAGGAUUCCCCUAGUAACGGCGAGUGAAGCGGGAAGAGCACAAAUUUAAAAUCUACCUGGUUUUCAGGUCGAGUUGUAAUUUGAAGAUACGUUUUUGACGUUCCGGGUUGGACUAAAUCCUUUGGGAUAAGGUAUCAUAGAGGGUGAGAAUCCCGUAUAUACCAACCGUUGGGAUGUUAUUAAAUACGUUUCUAAGAGUCGAGUUGUUUGGGAAUGCAGCUCUAAAUGGGUGGUAAAUUUCAUCUAAUGCUAAAUAUAAGCGAGAGACCGAUAGCGAACAAGUACAGUGAUGGAAAGAUGAAAAGAACUUUGAAAAGAGAGUUAAAUAGUACGUGAAAUUGUUGAAAGGGAAACGAUUGAAGUCAGUCAUGCUGGUGGGAAUCAACUUAGGGGAAACUCUGGGUGCACUUCUUCACUUGGCAUGUCAACGUCGAUUUUGAAUGUCAUAAAAUGAUUGGGGGAAGGUAGCUCCUUCGGGAGUGUUAUAGCCCUUGAUAGAUGUGAUGUUUGGGGUCGAGGAUUGCAACGGAUACCCUCCGGGGCUAGCCGCCUGAUCUCUAAUCGGUGUUGGGUUAUGGACAGCAUGCUGACCGUGAUCUAAUUACUGGUUAAAAGGUUAGAGCGUGCAUAAAUUCGUUAAGGACGUUGACGUAAUGGCUUUAAACGACCCC
rnacentral:rRNA from 1 species